CUGAGGCGCAGGAGGUUAGGACCCCCGCGCAGCAAAAGACACAGGAACCGGUCAAUGGCGGAAACACCGCAACGAA
rnacentral:SRP_RNA from 16 species